AAGGAUAUUCGGCAAACUUAUUGAAAAAUAAGGGCGCAAAGCUAUGGGUCUACGGACUUUUUGUCUAUGAUUGCCAGGUUGCUCCA
rnacentral:ncRNA from 1 species